rnacentral:lncRNA from 1 species
CAUUUCCUAUAUAUGUGUUCAAUGGUUUGGAAUAGUUCACCAGUGAAGUCAUCUCAACCAGCACAGGGCCUUGACUCCUAACAACAAUCACACGAACUUGGAAGAGGAGCCUUCCCCACCUGAACCUUCACUUGAGACCUCGUCCUUGGCCAUCCUCUACAUCUGGAUUCAUGAUACAGAGAAACUUGAGUAAUGAUGACAAUAGCAGUCCAGUGUGCAUGGAUGCUGACGUGGAUGCUGUCUCCCAUUCUUACCACUGGAUGGGAAGAAAUGAUAGAUGCAAUCCAGCCAUUGUGUUCUCGACUCUCAGUUCCAUCUUCUCAACUGACAUUGUCUUCCAAAGUCCGUGCCACACCACAGCCUGGAACAUCUCCCAAAGUGGUAUCUUGAUGCAAUGGUAGAGCUCAUGUCACAGUAUUGUAUGUCUCAGGUUUGAAUAACUCACCAGUGAAGUCAUCUUGACCUGGACAGAAAUUGAAUCCUCCCGAGAAUCCCAGGAGCUGGAAUGUUUCCAAACAAAGUCACUAAAACAACACGCAUUCAAGAAGUGGG